UCCUAAAAUCAUUUGCUUAAUUUGAGGGUUAAUGAACAUUUGAAGCAAAGUUCAGUAUAAAUAGUUUCCAAAUCGACGAUUUAGACAACAGACACUCAUUUGCCUUUGGUCAAUUCAGUUCAAUCUCAAAACAACACAAACCUCUAUUCACAAUGAAGUUCAUCUUGGUUACCCUUUUGGUUUGCUUUGCUGUUAUGUUGGCAGUAGUAUCAGCUGCUCCAUCUGAAGAAGGAAUUUUCGGGGAUUUGCCCGACAGUGAUAUCUACAAUCCACAGGAACCAAAUGAAUCAUUGAAAUUGUUGCUGUUGAAGAAACUCAAGCUUAAGCUGUUGAAGGGUUAGGUUGUGAAUACCAAACACCAUAAAAUUGGAUUUUAAUUUAGAAAAGACUUCAUUUUGUUACAUCAAAAUGCAUUAGUGUUAAGUUGUUGUUUUUGUUAGUAGAAAUAAAAAAAAGCUGUUUAAAAAAA